rnacentral:ncRNA from 1 species
CAUCGUGAGAUGGAAUCUGAAGGAAGCUGGAUGUGAGGAACAUACUAACUCAUGGGCAAAUCUCUGGUCUGACGAACAGAAAUCUUAUAUGAGGUUAUGCAUGAGGGUAAGGUUGCACGCCAAAUCGAAGCCCAAUAACUACACGGAACCGAGAAAGUAAAAUAUGGUUGUCA